UAGGGAAUCUUCCGCAAUGGACGCAAGUCUGACGGAGCAACGCCGCGUGAGUGAAGAAGGUCUUCGGAUCGUAAAGCUCUGUUGUUAGAGAAGAACAGCGCAUAGAGUAACUGUUAUGCGUGUGACGGUAUCUAACCAGAAAGCCACGGCUAACUACGUGCCAGCAGCCGCGGUAAUACGUAGGUGGCGAGCGUUGUCCGGAUUUAUUGGGCGUAAAGGGAGUGUAGGCGGUCUUUUAAGUCUGAUGUGAAAGCCCACGGCUCAACCGUGGAGGGUCAUUGGAAACUGGGAGACUUGAGUGCAGAAGAGGAGAGCGGAAUUCCAUGUGUAGCGGUGAAAUGCGUAGAUAUAUGGAGGAACACCAGUGGCGAAGGCGGCUCUCUGGUCUGUAACUGACGCUGAGGCUCGAAAGCGUGGGGAGCAAACA
rnacentral:rRNA from 1 species